AGAAAAGCAGGGGAUCGCAAGACCUUGCGCUUUUGGAGCGGCCGAUGUCUGAUUAGCUAGUUGAUGAGGUAAAGGCUUACCAAGGCGUCGAUCAGUAGCUGGUCUGAGAGGACGACCAGCCACACUGGGACUGAGACACGGCCCAGACUCCUACGGGAGGCAGCAGUGGGGAAUUUUGGACAAUGGGGGAAACCCUGAUCCAGCCAUGCCGCGUGGAGUGAAGAAGGCCUUCGGGGUUGUAAAGCUCUUUCAGCCGGAACGAAACGGUCACAGCUAAUACCUGUGACUACUGACGGUACCGGAAGAAGAAGCACCGGCUCAAUACGUGCCAGCAGCCGCGGUAAUACGUAGGGUGCGAGCGUUAAUCGGAAUUACUGGGCGUAAAGCGUGCGCAGGCGGUUUUGUAAGUCAGAUGUGAAAUCCCCCGGGCUUAACCUGGGAACUGCGUUUGAAACUACAAGG
rnacentral:rRNA from 2 species